UGCCUUUAUGUGUUGCCCUUUCAUUGUUUCCAUCAUGAAUCGGGUGUCAGAUAAGGCAUACAGAAGAUCUUGUGGUUGUCUUUGGGAGGAGUCUCCAGUGAUUCCCCUGACAGGAACGACUGCAAGGACACAG